rnacentral:lncRNA from 1 species
AGCGGCGAGCGACGGCUGGCAGACAACCUACCCACUCCCAGCCCCGCGCCCACCUCAGGAGCGUCUCGAGCGCGCCCUCGUGCUUGUCCAGCGGACGACCGACUGCGGCGCGGCGCAGCUUGCUGAGCUCCUCCGCCGCGCGGCAGUACUGGGCCUGCUCUUCCCCGCCGCUUGGGUAAGUCUGCUGGAUGAACUUCACCAGCGGCUUGGCCAGGUCCACCUCUGAGGUCUUUUUCAGCUGCACCGAGAUGAAUGUCGCCAUGAUCAGCGCCUCCGCCGCCGUUCGGGCCAAACAGACCGCGGACAGCUUACGAGGGCCGAGGAGAGAGAGGUACUGGGCUGGCGGACUGGCGGACUGACUGGCUGACAGACUUGCGCUCCGCCUGCGUUCCGGGUCCGGCAACUUCCGGGAGCUCCAGCGCAGGCGCACUGGAUGCGGGGUCCUUAAGCUGUCCGCGGUCACGUGAAGGUGUCGCGGCGGCUACGCCCACCUGGACCCAGUUUACCCUGUACUGUGCUGCAAAAUAUUACUUUCUCCCCAUCUGGAAUUCUUCCCUUCCUCCUUCCUGCCGCAGUGGUGUACUGAGCACUUUCACGUAAGAGUAUUCCUCCACUCGAACAACCCCCCGGAGAAGUACUGGUGUCACUGCCACCUGCGAGAGUUUGCGGCUACCUCCCCAAGAGGCAGUCCCAGGGUUAUUGUGACCUAUGAUGUUUAUUCAACUACUGUUGACGGGCUGCUGUGCACAGGGAACCUAGUAGGCAAGACCCCUGCCAUCGUGCAGCUUACUGUCAGGUUGACACAGACCUUAAGAAAGAACAAAAUUUUAAAUAAAUUAAAAACGACACCUGUAAUUUGAGAAGAUGCUUGAUAUCAGAAGAGGAGAAGAGUGGAGAGGGGUGGAGUGGCAAAGGAGAGCCUCCAAACCAAAAGCCUGCGGCAGAGGCCCUAGGAGGCAAGCACUUAACCAUGUUUCAGGACUAGAAACGAAACAUGUGACAAGACCUUUAAAAACAAAUAGAAUGGGAUGGAAUAAAGUUGGAUGAGUAAGCAGGCAUCAAAUCAUUCAGAAACUUGUUGUCCAAGUUGAAGAAUUUGUUUAGUAUUGUAUAAUAAAUGCAGAGGAAGCUAUAUACACUUAUAAUUUACAUUUUUUAAAGGCCACGUUGUAGCUCAAUCGGAUAGUUUGUCUUUUGAUGGGAUGUAGUAUACAGUAUCAUCAUGGUAUAUUCCAGGCAAAAAUAUUUAACUUGAAUCUGUCAAGCCUUUGCAUCUAACACAGUUUAUAAAAAAUACAACAGAUAGAUGAACAAACUAAAUGAUGCCAGAGGAAGUAACUAGACAGAUCCAGAAGGUGAAACAUUCUGCAGGAUAACUGGCCCAUCUCUUCAACAAUUUGUCAUGAUAAAAGCAACUGCUUUAUGAAAAGAAAUUUAAGGGACAUAACAGUUUGAAUUGGAUCCUGGUUUGAACAGACUGUCUAUAAAAUGCAUUUUCAGGACCAUUAAAGAAAUAUGAAUGUAGAUGGACUGAGUAUUGGAUAAAAUAGAACUGUAUUGCCAUGGAAAAGAUCAUUAACUGAAAAGAGCAAGUCACGAAAUAGUAUGUUACAGCAUCUCAUUUUGGUUUAAAAAUGCACAUAUAUGUAUUUAUGUACAACUAAAAAAAUAGUGGGCUUAUACCCUAAGGUGUUAGUAUUGGUAAUCUUUGGAAGUGGAAAUGUGUAUUUUUUUCUUUGUGUUUGCCUAUCUUUUUCAUUGUAACUUUUGCAGCACAUAGACUACUUUCAUUAUAGUAAAAGUUUAUUUUACCACAAUUUUUUUUUUUUUAGAAAGAGUCUCACUCUGUCACCCAGGCUGGAGUGCAGUGGCACAAUCUCAGCCCACUGCAACCUCCACCUCCCAGGUUCAAGCUAUUCUCCUGCCUCAGCCUUCUGAGUAGCUGGGACUACAGGUGCACACCACAUGCCUGGCUAAUUUUUGUAUUUUUAAUAGAGACUGGAUUUCGCGAUGUUGGCCCGGCUGGUCUCGAACUCCUGGCCUCAAGUGAUCCACCCGCUUUAGCCUCCCAAAGUGCUGGGAUUACAGGCGUGAGCCACUGCACCCGGCCUAUUUUACCACAAUUUAUAAAAAUUUUUGUUUAUUUUAAUUAAGCUAUUCUAUGUUAAAAUAAGUAGCCACCCUUGGCUGAUGCAUAAAGAAAAAAUUAGAGGAAGGAAAGAAUGGAGGCAAGGAGGCAAAUCAUGAGACCAUUUCAGAAAUCAAGACGAAAUCAGGAAAGCUAACAUUAGCAAGAGUGAACCAAACUGAUAAUAUCUUUGAGUUUAAAACUGAAGAAUUUACCAAUGAACUGCAUAGGAAAGUAAAGAAAAGAGAGUGGUCAAGAUAGGUCCUGGUUUUGGGGCCUGAACAUCUGAGUGGUUAGUAGAAUCAUUACCAGUUGAUAACCCAUGGAAGAGGGUGGGGGAUGGGUGGUGUCUUGUAGGUUGGUUGACAGGACUGACCCAUUGGGAAGAUAACGAAGAAGCAAAGUAUAUGAAAAGAGGAGAAAGGGUAACCAGAGGAGGGAGGAUACAAAGGGAGUGAUUAGCCAUCAGAAAGAUGAGGGACAUGACAUUUGUUGAGGCAGAUGGCGGAGAAAAGAAAGUUAACAUAGAUGUGGUUAGUUUUGUGGCAUUGACCAAAGGAAGAUUAAGGUGAUACUAUCUGAUGGCUUGGAAUGAAAACCAAACUCCCUGCCACAACAUGAUGAUCUUUCUCUGCAACUUCAUAUUUUGCCUCUUGUUCCUCAUUUGUUACCACUGAGUCACAAUGGUCUUUUUAGUUUCUCAAACACACCAAGAUCUUUCUUGCCUCAUGUGACCUAGAAUGUUUUCUCCCUUUCUUCAUAUCUCAGUUGAAAGGUCUCCUCUCCUCAUCAUCAUACUAUCUAAAGUAGAUUCCCUCCCUUGUUAACCUCUAGCGCAGCCAUUAGUUCCUUCAUAACACUUACCCUAACUUGCAAGUAUUUUGUUUGUUGAUAUAAUUUUUAUCUGACUUCCCCACUAAAAUGUAAGCUCCAUGAGGGCAAAAAUUGUGUGUUUUGUAUACUGAUGCAUCUCUAGCACUUGGUAUAGCAGGCAUUCAAUAAAUAUCAUUAAAUAAGUUUCACCCUUGUAAAAAAAAAAAAUAUAUAUAUAUAAAAUAUAUUCUCUACUUCCAAAAUAACACACUUUCACCAACAACAAGCACUCCAGCUAAUUAGGCAAUAGGCCAAUAAGCAAAGAAUUAUGGUAUAUUAGUCAAGAUUGGCUAGCUUAUGUUCUGACAAUAAACAAUUUCAAAAUCUCAGUUUCAAUUUUAAACUCAAAGAUACUAAUAAACAUUUGUUCUUUGCUCACACAAAGUCUAAUAUGGAACAGGCUUAGAGUUGUCCUCCAACCAGUGUCUGAGCAAUCCAGACCACUUUGAUCUUGUAACUCUGCCAUCCCAACAUGAGAUUCCACUUUCACUGCAGAAGAGGAAAUCUGUAGCAUCAUGCAGCAGCUUGUCACUACCUCAGCCCUCCUACUUCCACUUGCAUUUCACUAGCUAGAACCUUUCACAUGGCUCCACCAAACUGCAAUGGGACUGGGAAGGGAGAAUCAGAUAUUAGGGAGCAUUUAUAAUGCCUUCCAAGGGUGUGUUUCACUGCUUCCAAACUUGCUUAUGAUGAUGUUUUUCAUUUAUGUAAUGAAAUGCCAUAUGUUCUUAGUGUGUAUUCUCAGCAUAACGAGUACAUUUGGAGAAUAUUAAGUCAGUGGACUUUCCUUCUUGAAAAUUCCUGGUUCUGGGCCUAUCAUUAACCCCACUGAUUGAACCAGUGGAAAUAGUUGCCUCUUCGAAUGGAGAGAACCCUGCUGAAGGCAGCUUUGAGUUUCAAAAUAGUGUGUUUCAAGUCCACAUGGAGACGAUAGCCUGAAAGUAAGCACUUAUGAUUUUUGGAGGAGUCUUUGUUAUUAAGGAGAAAAGAGGCUUACAGAAGUCAGAUUCAGAAGACUGUAGUAUUUUUACAAUAAAUGAGAGUAAACAGUAUAAGGAUUUGAUGUAAGGGAAGUUCCUGCAGUGCAAGAAAGAAAGUCCUUUUGGUGCUGAGCGGAACAGUCUAAGAGAGAAAAGGUGAAGAACAAAAGGAAAAUGUAAAUGUGGUAUUCACACUUCCCUACUCCACACUCAGGAUAAACCUAGAGUAUGAGGUAGAGGCGGGAAUCUAGAGGGGAGGAAGCAUAGAAUAGGAACACCCAAAUAGACUUGAUGAAACAAAAAACAUCAAGGAUGGCUCCCGUGUCACCUGGGAAGACACACUUCAUGUAAGGAAUGGAAAAAAGGCAAUGGUAAGGGACAGGGGCCCUGGAUUUUUUACAACAUGCGAUAGAGAACUAUUUGUCUCCUUAAUUUAUUUAACUUUAAAAAAUAAUAAUGAAUGAAAGAAAAAUUACCCAUUUUUCAAAUAUGGGUGUGUAAGUUUUUUCCACUUUGUACAAAAAAUUUUAAAGAAACGAAAACUGCUGAACACCUUAUAUUCAGAAUUACUCCCUGUAUAAGCCCAUUCCAAUUCCAUAUACUGCUGAUUAAAUUUCCAUCAGUUGGCAGUUCUCUAAUAUCAGUUUCACUGCUAUUUAACUAACUACUGCCCUUUGCUACCAGUGUCUCUCUUGGAUGAGAGUCACUUUACUUGAAUAAGAUAACUUCUGAGAAUAAAUCUAUGCACUAUUUUGGAAGAAUUGCUCUAUAGAGUAAAAAAUAAUUCUGGAUAAUUGAAAGUUAUCUUGUGAGUAUCUGGACAUUAAGGAUACAUUUCAAGACUCCUGUUUUCACUAAAAUCCAAUAUUUGUUUAAGCACUUCAAGUUAAAGAGGAGCACCUUCCCCUUUCACCCUGACUAUCGUUGUUAAUUCGUUUUUGAAGCUAUAUAAGAACGUUUCUUUAAUCGGUUUUCCCUUAGGCAUACAUUAGCUCUCUGUUCAAGACUUAGUAGCAGAGAGUAGUAAGUAAAUGGUUAUUAGUGGUUCUUCAUAUAAAACACAUUUGAGUUUCUUAGAAGAAAACUAUGCAUAAAGAUUACUUUCAGAUAUCAUGUCUGUAGUUCGUUAAUAGAGAAGUUUCUCUGAACGUGUGGAACACUGUAAUAAGAUAAAUAAAUUUUUAAAAAGAAAAAGUAAGCAUAUAUACAAAAUGUAUGUAAUUUCAUUUGUCUUCACUUAUUUAAUAUUUAUAACCAUACAUUAAAUGAAAACCAAAUCCUACAAGCUUCAUGGUACAAAGUUUUGGUAAUACUUGGAUGACCAGACUAAGUUAUUCAGCAGAUAUUUUUUGAGCUUAUACUGUGUGCCAAACAAAAUGUAGUUCAAGAGAAUUCUAUGACCAAUCUAUUAAUCUAUUGUAUAUAUUUACAGAGGUCUUUAAUCCACCCUUAUAUAAGGUAGUUCAGCAAACAGUUCAUAGGAGGAGGUCUAGGAAAGCAGUUAAGGAAAGUCCUAAAAUGGCAGCUCUGCAGCAAGCAGAAAGUACAACUAGCCCAGAAUAAGGAGAGGGUGGAGGGGCGCAGGAGGAAGAUCCAAUAGAGGGAAAAAAAAGGUUGAAGGGAUUAGAUAGAAUAAAAACCACCAGGGUUCUCGUUGGAAAAAUUAUUCUUUUCCCUUUGUAAUUAACAACUAAUUUGUGGGAAUAUAAUUCGAGGCUAUUAAACAUACUGUUCCACAUUAAACUUUCUUCCACUAGUUUUAGCAUACUUCGAUGAUUCUUCCAUGAAUCUAAUAUUUCUGUGAUGAUUGCAAAAUGGUAAUUUUCUUAUCCAUUAUUCUGCCUAUAUCUAUUAGCUGACAUUAUUCUAGAAAGAAGAAUUUUCUUUUCUCCCUUAUUUAUUCAUUUAUAUGUUUAUACCAGCAUGGACCCAUAGAUUUUUAUUUAAUUUGGUAGAUUAUAAUCUGUUAUUAUUAUUUAUUUUGACGCUCAGAUUGUCCAAGAUUUGACUGAUAUGAACACCCUCAAGCUGGCUCCUGUGUUCUUUUUCUUCCAAUAUUUUCUUUUCUUUUCUUUUCUCUUCUUUUCUUUGUUUUUUUGUUUUGUUUUUUUGAGACAGGGUCUGGCUCUUUUGCCCAGGCUGGAGUGCAGUGGUGCAGUCAUGGCUCACUACACCCUCAACCUUCCAGGCCCAGGCUCAAGCAAUUAUCCUACCUCAGCCUCCCAAGUAGCUAGGACUACAGGUGCACACUACCAUGCCCGGCUAAUUUAUUUGUUUAUUUUUUGUAAAGACGGAAUAUCCCUAUGUUGCCGAGGCUGGUCUCAAACUCCUGGACUCCAGGGAUUCUCCUGCCUCAACUUCACAAUUCAUUUUUAAAAUUUCAGCCACAGCAUAGAGUUUUGCAAUAAACACUCACCUACCCACCACCUAGAUUCUAACAUUAACAUUUUACUAUGCAUGCUUUAUCUCACAUUUGUCCAUCUAAUCUUCCCUCUAUCCACCCAUAAAUCUACCUUGCUUUUUGGAUCCAUUUCAUAGUAAGUUGCAGUCAUCAGAAAGGAAAAGUAAAAUAAGUAAAUUUAUUGGUAAAUAGGCAAUUGAUGGGAGUCAAAAGAUAUUUAAAUGAUAUCAAUGAAUGUCACUUAAAGUUAAAAAAUCGAAUAGCAGAAGGAGGUAAAGAAAAAAGGAAGUAAAGAAAAAGACUUUUAAAAUGACUCACAAAAGAAAACCCAAUGUGAUAGAUUAUAAAAUUGGCCACAAACUCUUCCUCUCCCUUUAUCAUGAUUUUGCAGUGUGACAUUGCAGAUCUUCCCACCAGGAAGUGGAGUCUUUUUCUGCACCCUUUAAGUCUAGGUCGUUGAUGUGAGCUGCUUUGGCCAAUGGGGCAUUAGCAGUUGUGAUGCAAGCAGACACUUCAGUCAUCAGGGUUUGUCCUCUCUUACUGCACUUGCAACCCCGUGACCUCCAUGUGUACCGUCUUGCCUGCUGGAUUAUGAGAGACGUGGUUGAGUCACUCUCCUAGCCCUAACCAACAGUCUGCUAAUUGUCAGACAUAUGAACAAGGCUAUCUUAGAUCAUCCAACAACCAGGCAACACCCUAGAUGACCUCAGACACAGAAGCAAGCACCUGAGAGAUCAACUGAGCCAAUCUAGACCAGAACUGUUAAGCCAACCUACAGAAUUAUGAGCUAAAUAAAUGGCUGGUUUUUAAGUUUUGGCAUGGUUUGUUAUGCAACAGAAGCUAACUGAUACACUAUCAUUAUGGUACAUGCAAGCAACAUACCUAAAACAAAAUGAUUCAGAAAGGCUAAAUAGAAAGGAAUAGACAGACAUACUAGGUGCUGUGGACUGAAUGUGUACCCCCAACAGUCACUUCUUGAAAUUCAGUUCCAAAUGCGAUGGUAUUUGGAGGUGGGACCUUUGGAAGGUAAUUAGAUUGUGAGCACAGAGCCCUCAUGAAUAGGAUUAGUGCCCUUCUAAGAAGAGACGCAACAGCACUUGCUUCCUCUCUCACUCUGCUAUGUGAGGAUACAGUAAAAAGGUGUCUAUAUGCAAAGCAGUAAGAGGGCACUCACCAAAACCCAAUCAUGCUGGUACCCUGCUCUUAGACUUCACAUCCUCCAUAACCGUAAGAAAUAAAUGUUGUUGAAGCCACCCAAUCUAUAACAGCUUGAACUAACUAAAACACCAGACAAAUGGAAACAAUAGGAGUGCAGGGUCGUUCUUUUGAUAUCAGACAAUUCAGACCAAAAAGGCUUAAAUGUAAUUAAGGACAUUUCAUAAUGCUAAAGGCUAAAAUUAUCCAGAAAAAAAAAUGUAGCUAAAAGCCACAAUAAAGAUAAGAGUUUGAAAUAUCAAACUUUUGUAUCAGCUAACCCAAAAUAUCUGUGUACCAAGUAACACAGCAACCACCAUCAUAAAAAAGAAACUAUGGGAUUACAUUUCCAAGUAAUAAUUUCUUAUCUUUGGCCAACUCUGUGAGUAGCUAAGGGAAUUUUAAAAAGUGUUACUCAGGGAUGAUCCAAAGAAGAUACAUUUGGAAGCAAGAUAGGUGGAUUAAGUCUGUGCUGAAUAAUAAUUUGUCAUACCUCAUUAUAAGAGAUGUGGCCAUGGCCAGGCGUGGUGGCUCACACCUGUAAUCCCAACACUUUGGGAGGCCGAGGAGGGCAGAUCUCUUGAAGUCAGGAGUUUGAAACCAGCCUGGCCAACAUGGUGAAAACCCAAUUCUAAUAAAAAUACAAAAAAAUUAGCCGGGCGUGAUGGCAGGCGCCUGUAAUCCCAGCUACCGAGGAGGCUGGGGCAGGAGAAUCACUUGAACCCGGGAGGCAGAGGUUGCAGUGAGCUGAGAUUGUGCACUACUGCCUGGGUGACAAAGCGAGACUCCGUCUCAUAAAAAAGAGAGAAAGAGAGAGAUGGCCUUGUAAAAUUACAGGACAGAAGGACAGAUGGGAAAAUAUGUAUCUUCUACCUUGUGGUUAGGCUGUACUCUAUGAAAAUUAAUAUUUGUCCUUGGGAGAUGGUGAUUCAGCAGUCCCCUGCAGCACAGUCAGGAGAGCAAAGAAGUUCAUUGAUGACUCACAAGAGAAGUGAGUUCCUUCACCUGUCCUUUACUUUUUGGUGAAACCUGGAUAAAGUUCCCCACGUUCUCCACCCUAACUUGGAAUAUAAGAGAACUCCUCUACUCUCACCCAGCACAGUCUCCCCCAGAGUAUUAUUCUAGCUUACUUGUUAUUAAAUGGGUAAUUUUGCUCUCCAGUGGUCAUUUUUGGUUGUCACAACUUGGUGGGAGAGGAUGCUACUAGCCUCUAGUGGAUAGAAGCUAGAGAUGCUUCUAAACAUUCUACAAUGCACAGGACAGUCUCUCAUAGCAAAAAUAUUAUCCAGCCCUAAAUGUCACUAGUACUAAGGGUAAAAUUCGCUUGAAAAGCAUAUUACUCAGAACAGGCUCCAAAUUUUGAGAAAUAUACCGCUAGGGGUAUAGUCUGAUCUAUUUGGAAGGGGUGGGUUGUUCAGAGAAUGAAUAAAGUCUUGCUUUGAAAGGUGAGAAGAAGGAAGCAUUGUUGCAGAGAUAUUGGCUCCUAAGAAUAGGGGAGAAAAAUAAGGAAGUGGAGUACAUCAAUGAGGGGUGAACUUCCAGAGGAAUUUUCCAUUAAACUAAAGAGAAAUUUACUGCCAUUUUCUUUAUUGACCCCACCCUCAUUAAAGGCAGAAUGAAGGAACAAGACAGCAAAGAAUGUGACUGGCCCCAUGGAAAGGAAGUUGUAUCCUAUCCUGGGGACUCUGUCCAGAUGUUCCAGGUGGUGACAAACAGCAACAUAAUAUAGUGGUUUAUGCAGACUUCUUCACACAUGUGAGGAGCAAGCUUGGAAGUUCAAAGGGUUUGAUGCCCAUACAUUGUGAAAUAUCAGAACAUUAGAGACAAAGAGAUAAUGUUCUAAGUGUCUGGAGAGGGAGAAAAAACAGGCCAUGUACAAGGAAUGAUAAUAAAAAUGACUCUGGGCUUCUCAGCAACAUUUGAAGGAAGAAGACAAUGGAAGAGUGUCUUCAAUGUGAUGGAAAAUGCCUUCCAACCUAGAAAUCCUAUAACCAACCAAACUGGCAAUGUGAAGAUUGACUAUAGACACUUGUAACAUCUGAACAAAAUUAGGCCAGGCGUGGUGGCUCACACCUGUAAACCCAGCACUUUGGGAGGCCAAGGCGGGCAGAUCACUUGAGGUCAGGAGUUCGAGACCAGCCUGGCCAACAUGGUGAAACCCUGUCUUUACUAAAAAUAUGAAAAUUAGCCAGGUGUGAUAGUGGGCACUUGUAAUCCCAGCUACCUGGGAGGCUGAGGCAGGAGAAUUGCUUGAACCCAGGAGGCAGAGGUUGCAGUGAGCCAAGAUCAUGCCUCUGCACUCCAGCCUGAGCGACAGAGACUCCGUCUCAAAAAAAAAAAAAAAAAAAAAACUGAAAAAAUUAUCAUUUAUAUUGAUUUUCUUUGCUGCUAUAAAAAAUUGCUACAAACUUAGUGGCUUAAGACAACACAAAUUUAUUCUCUUACAGUUCUGGAGAUCAGAAUUCCUAAAUCAAGAUGUUAGCAGGACUGUUUCCCUUCCAGCGGCUCUAGAGGAGAAUCUAUUUCCUUACCUUCCUCGCUGCCAGAGGCUGCUUGCAUUCCUUGUCUUGUGGUCCCUUCCUUCCUACAUCCAUAUUUAAAACCAGCACAUCUCUCUCUUCUGUCUAUCUCUCGCUGUCUCUGUCUGUCUUUCUCUCAUGCAUACAUACACAUGCACACAUAUACCUCCUACUAUCCUAUUAUAUAGACCUUCAUUACUACCUGUGACCACCCAAAUAAUCCAGGAUAAUCUCCCAAUUUAAACAUUCUUAAUGUGAUCACAUCUUCAAAGUCUCUUUUGCCAUUUAAGGCAACAUAUUCACAAGUUUUAGAGAUUAGAAUGUGGACAUUUUAGGGAACCAGUAUUCUGUCUACUACAUCACACAAUCACAUUGCCUGUACUAAGAUGAGAGAGUCAUCUGAGAAAUAAGAAAAUACGGAAUAUAGAAAAUAAGAGAUUCAACACAGAAAAAGGAAAAGACUCUCCAUGCUGGUGGUGAAGUUGUGAUAUUCAAAUGACAACUGCACAGCAGUCCUGAUUGGGGCAGUGUGGUAUGAGAGAGAGCCAUGUCAACCGCUGUCCUUACCAUGUUUCUGCCAUUGUAACAUACUUUUAACUUGAUGGAUAUGCUUCACCAAAUAGGGAAUAAAUCUAAAUGUAGAAAGACAGAUUAAGGACCCAGAGAAUCUAACUAGAACCCAUAAGGCUAGAUAACAAAAACAAAAACCAACAGAAAUAAAUGAUGUCAAACAGCCCUGAAAGAAUCCAGAUAUUGGAAUUAUUAAACACAAAUAAUAAAACAACUAUAUUUACUAUGUUAAAGGACACAAAAAUUAUGCUUGAAAAUUUCAACAGGAAACUGGAAACUAUAACAAGCAACAGAGCAUGUUUUAAAAAGAAUCAGAUUGGAUUUGACAAUGGAAAGAAACCAUAAAUCAAGUUUAAGAUCAGUGAAUGGGUUUCCAGCAGAUAGCAAACUGGAAGAUAUAUUGAAAAUACAAUCAUAAAACACUGCGACACUGCUGGGAAUUAUAUUCGCAUAUAUGUAAUAAUGUAAACAUUGAUUAUUGAUUUGACCAACUAUUGUAAUAUAACUAUAUUGAGAAUAUUAAGGAUAGCAGAAGACAGAAUGACAUUGUAAGACAGAUAAAUUCUCAUCUACUACAAUAUGAAGCUGAUAGAUAAUAGCUAAAGAUAGUAUAUGCCUAUUAUUUACAAAUUAGGUAGAGGUGUAAAUGCCAGAGAGAGCUAAAAGCAUAAAAAAAUAGUUGUCUCUAGGAAGGAGGGAAGAAAGUAGAGAGGGAUGG